rnacentral:lncRNA from 1 species
CUCUACAGGUGGGCAGGGUCCCUGCGCCCUAAGGGCGGCACACAGGGUCCACCAGCCUCUCCCUGGCUUCCUCUUUUCCCCGACGUCACUUGGUGGCAGCCCCACCCCUCGGCCUUUACAGACGCCAAGACGUGCGCUCCGCAGGCGCUCCUGGCCUUUCAUCGCCAGCUCCCCAGUAGCCCGUGGGCUGGGGCUGCCCAGAGUCUGGUUUCAAGGAAGAAGGAGCAGGAAGAAAAAGCCUCGCUCCGUCUCCUAAGUCGGCUUAAUCAUUAACCCGCACUGGAACGUGGCGUUCACCGCGGCUGGGAGAAGCGAGGGCUCGCCCGGCUCCCGGUAAAACGGGACUUUGUUUCACUUUCAGGUGCAGCUGUUUGCGAGGGUGGCAACCUCACCAGGGGUCCUUCGAGUGAAGACGAACAAGAAAGAAUUCUGUCCCCAGAGGCCACCCCCGAAGUCCUGCAAGCGUCUACUUCAUAAAUAUGGUCGAAAGGAAAAUCCGUCUUGAAAUGACCAGUAUUGGAAAAUAGCGCAUUUCAAGGGCUGUGCUUGGCGGCGUGUCCGCACCUGGACCUCCCCUCCCAUCGAGUCUCCCUGAAAGGGGCGGUGGGGAGGUGUCUGGUGUUGGGAUGCCCCUGCCCUGCUCCCCGAGGUGGGGGCAACACGUUUGAGAAACACACAGCCCUUCCUCGAGGCCGGAUGUCUCAGCACCUGCUUCUUGAUGGAGGCGAAGCAGGUGCCCCCCCCCCAGGGACCCCGCGUUCCCGCAGCUGUCUGUUCUAUAGGUCACGGGGUGCCUGACUUCUGCCCCACGUCACACUGGGUUAUAAUGGUGCCUCUCUCUCCCUCCCACCUUUCCAUUCCCCCCCCCCGCCUUCUUUUCUCCCUCCCCCCUCCCCCGGCCCCGUGAGCUCUCUGAUGGGAGGAAUCACGACGGAUGCAUUUUCCAUGUCCCCUGUUCCAAGGUCACGACAAAGGCUGUUCCAUCCACGCAACCAGAGCCCCUCCAGGACCACACGUGGGCAAAUCGGAAACCCACCCCUGGAUUUUUCUGCUGAAGCUCUCAGUAAAGACUGUCCCUUCCGGGAGCGUCACUGAGCUAGUGGGUCUGCGUUUUCAGCCUCCUCAACAGUCAGUCUCCCGUCAACACUCUCCAAAAGGCGGUUUGUGCCCCCACUGUCUGUGCACACCUCCAUCUACCAAGCGCACGUGGAAUCGAUACCCAAGGGAAGGCUGGCCACCCUGGUCGCGGCCACGGACCGUUAAGGACACCUGCUGCCUGGGGUUUUCGUGAGUCCUAAUGAUACAAGUGAGGACCGCGCCGUCAUCAACGGCAAAUAUAGAAGGAGAAGCACAAGGUGUAUUGCAAAUUACAUGUAGGGCCCAUAAAGGGGGGGGGAUUAGCCACCAUCCUUCCGCUGCCCCCCCCCACGGCCGCCCCUCCCCCACGCCUCCAUCUGCGCCGGCUCCGGACUAGAUUUCUCUGUUAACAAAGCCCGACCUCUGGAUUCUGCUUGACUUCACCACUCUGGCCCCCAUAAAACACAAUUCCUAAUGAUGAGCCCUUCGUCUGUGAGUUAGGGGCUGAAAAGGCACGUCCUCCCCCUCGUGGGGGGAGGGGGCGGGGUUCCAAGGUCAGAGGGUGUCACAAGUUC